rnacentral:misc_RNA from 1 species
AAGUCGUAACAAGGUUUCCGUAGGUGAACCUGCGGAAGGAUCAUUACUGAAGCAUUAGAAAUGGUUGCUGCUGCCUUGAAAAAGGAUUGUGCACAUCUUUCAAUCUUCUACUUAACCACUUGUGCACUCUUCAUAGACUGUGAAUUAUCUUUCACUGAAAAUGUGGAUUUGAGAGUUAGUUAUAUUUACUUUCAACCAAUUCAUGGUUUAUGUUUUUCAUAUACACUAUUCAAAUAUAAUGAAUGUAUUGCUAUGGGUUUACCCAUAAUAAAUGAAAUACAACUUUCAGCAACGGAUCUCUUGGCUCUC